rnacentral:lncRNA from 1 species
GGAGACAGAGGAGUACUUUUCUGAGGAAUACUACUCUGAGGGAGAGAUGGAUAUAAUGUCAUACCUAAGUAUGAUGAAUGAUGGGAAGGAAAAAAGAGAGGUAACAUCGAUAACUACGGUGGUACCAACACUUGAGUCAUCACCUCCAGAUGCAAUGGAAGCAUUGUAUCUGGCAGCGCUUGACAGGAAUGUGCAAUUGGGUACAGUUGUACAGAAU